rnacentral:lncRNA from 1 species
UUUAAUAGUUGCUCCUUUUCAUAUAUGUUAACUGCUUGUGAACAAAGUGUACAAAGCUUCGAUUAUAGGACAAAGUGUAAAUUUUCAUUACUGAUUAUGACUGAAAACUUUGAAGAUUUUGAACAUGCAUACACAUAACACAUUACAAUUAGUCACAAGACAAAAGGAACAAAGAAACACAUAAGUUUAUUUUUCCCAAUCACGUUAAAUUAUUCCAUGUUCAUUUUACUAGCAAAUGAAUCCAUAUCCCUUCCUCUAAGAAAAAGGACAUGCU